rnacentral:rRNA from 1 species
UACGUAGGGACCAAGCGUUGUUCGGAUUUACUGGGCGUAAAGGGCGCGUAGGCGGCAAUUCAAGUCAUCUGUGAAAUCUCCGGGCUUAACCCGGAACGGUCAGGUGAUACUGUUUUGCUAGAGUGCGGAAGGGGCAAUCGGAAUUCUCGGUGUAGCGGUGAAAUGACGCAGAUAUCAGGAGGAACACCUAUUGCGAAGGCAGCUCGCUGGGACGUAACUGACGCUGAGACGCGAAAGCGUGGGGAGCAAACAGG